GAUGAACGCUGGCGGCGUGCCUAAUACAUGCAAGUCGAGCGAACAGACGAGGAGCUUGCUCCUCUGACGUUAGCGGCGGACGGGUGAGUAACACGUGGAUAACCUACCUAUAAGACUGGGAUAACUUCGGGAAACCGGAGCUAAUACCGGAUAACAUGUUGAACCGCAUGGUUCAACAGUGAAAGACGGUCUUUCUGUCACUUAUAGAUGGAUCCGCGCCGCAUUUGCUAGUUGGUAAGGUAACGGCUUACCAAGGCAACGAUGCGUAUCCGACCUGAGAGGGUGAUCGGAGAAACUGGAACUGAGACACGGUCCAGACUCCUACGGGAGGCAGCAGUAGGGAAUAUUCCGCAAUGGGCGAAAGCCUGACGGAGCAACGCCGCGUGAGUGAAGAAGGUCUUCGGAUCGUAAAACUCUGUUAUUAGGGAAGAACAAAUGUGUAAGUAACUAUGCACGUCUUGACGGUACCUAAUCAGAAAGCCACGGCUAACUACGUG
rnacentral:rRNA from 1 species